AGCCAAGACCAGAACACAGGGGUACUGAACACAAGUACAGAAGUACAGAGGCAGAACCAGGACACAGGUACAGAACACAGGUACAGAGGCAGAACCAGGACACAGAGGCGCAGAACAGAGGUACAGAGGCACAGGACACAGGUACAGAGGCAGAACCAGGACACAGGACACAGAGGUAUAGAACACAGGUACUGAGCCAAGACCAGAACACAGGGGUACUGAACACAAGUACAGAAGUACAGAGGCAGAACCAGGACACAGGUACAGAACACAGGUACAGAGGCAGAACCAGGACACACAGGUACAGAACACAGGACACAGAGGUAUAGAACACAGAACACAGGUACAGAGGCAGAACCAGGACACAGAGGUGCAGAACAGAGGUACAGAGGCAGAACCAGGACACAGGUACAGAACACAGGUACAGAGGCAGAACCAGGACACAGAGGUACAGAACACAGGACACAGAGGUAUAGAACACAGGUACUGAGCCAAGACCAGAACACAGGGGUACUGAACACAAGUACAGAAGUACAGAGGCAGAACCAGGACACAGGUACAGAACACAGGUACAGAGGCAGAACCAGGACACACAGGUACAGAACACAGGACACAGAGGUAUAGAACACAGGUACAGAGCACAGGACACAGAGGCACAGAACACGGGUACAGAGGCAGAACCAGGACACAGAGGUAUAGAACACAGGUACAGAGGCAGAACCAGGACACAGAGGUAUAGAACACAGGUACAGAGGCAGAACCAGGACACAGAGGUAUAGAACACAGGUACAGAGGCAGAACCAGGACACAGAGGUAUAGAACACAGGUACAGAGGCAGAACCAGGACACAGAGGUACAUAACACAGGUACAGAGGCAGAACCAGGACACAGAGGUAUAGAACACAGGUACAGAGGCAGAACCAGGACACAGAGGUAUAGAACACAGGUACAGAGGCAGAACCAGGACACAGAGGUAUAGAACACAGGUACAGAGGCAGAACCAGGACACAGAGGUGCAGAACACAGGUACAGAGGCAGAACCAGGACACAGAGGUAUAGAACACAGGUACAGAGCACAGGACACAGAGGCACAGAACACGGGUACAGAGGCAGAACCAGGACACAGAGGUAUAGAACACAGGUACAGAGGCAGAACCAGGACACAGAGGUAUAGAACACAGGUACAGAGGCAGAACCAGGACACAGAGGUAUAGAACACAGGUACAGAGGCAGAACCAGGACACAGAGGUACAUAACACAGGUACAGAGGCAGAACCAGGACACAGAGGUAUAGAACACAAGUACAGAGGCAGAACCAGGACACAGAGGUACAUAACACAGGUACAGAGGCAGAACCAGGACACAGAGGUAUAGAACACAGGUACAGAGGCAGAACCAGGACACAGAGGUGCAGAACACAGGUACAGAGGCAGAACCAGGACACAGAGGUAUAGAACACAAGUACAGAGGCAGAACCAGGACACAGAGGUACAUAACACAGGUACAGAGGCAGAACCAGGACACAGAGGUAUAGAACACAGGUACAGAGGCAGAACCAGGACACAGAGGUGCAGAACACAGGUACAGAGGCAGAACCAGGACACAGAGGUACAUAACACAGGACACAGAGGCAGAACCAGGACACAGAGGUACAUAACACAGAACACAGGACACAGAGGCAGAACCAGGACACAGAGGUGCAGAACAUAGGUACAAAGGCAGAACCAGGACACAGAGGUACAUAACACAGGUACAGAGGCAGAACCAGGACACAGAGGUACAUAACACAGGUACAGAGGCAGAACCAGGACACAGAGGUACAUAACACAGGUACAGAGGCAGAACCAGGACACAGAGGUACAUAACACAGGUACAGAGGCAGAACCAGGACACAGAGGUAUAGAACACAGGUACAGAGGCAGAACCAGGACACAGAGGUACAUAACACAGGUACAGAGGCAGAACCAGGACACAGGACACAGAGGUAUAGAACACAGGUACUGAGCCAAGACCAGAACACAGGGGUACUGAACACAAGUACAGAAGUACAGAGGCAGAACCAGGACACAGGUACAGAACACAGGUACAGAGGCAGAACCAGGACACAGAGGUACAGAACACAGGACACAGAGGUAUAGAACACAGGUACUGAGCCAAGACCAGAACACAGGGGUACUGAACACAAGUACAGAAGUACAGAGGCAGAACCAGGACACAGGUACAGAACACAGGUACAGAGGCAGAACCAGGACACACAGGUACAGAACACAGGACACAGAGGUAUAGAACACAGAACACAGGUACAGAGGCAGAACCAGGACACAGAGGUGCAGAACAGAGGUACAGAGGCAGAACACAGGACACAGAGGCAGAACCAGGACACAGAGGUACAUAACACAGAACACAGGACACAGAGGCAGAACCAGGACACAGAGGUGCAGAACAGAGGUACAGAGGCAGAACACAGGACACAGAGGUACAUAACACAGGACACAGAGGCAGAACACAGGACACAGAGGUGCAGAACAGAGGUACAGAGGCAGAACCAGGACACAGAGGUGCAGAACAGAGGCACAGACCACAUGACACAGAGGCACAGAGGCAGAACCAGGAUACAUGGUAAGGUGAGCUUCGUUAAGCCCUGGAUAUACUUGCUUUUAACUACAUGUUCGCGUACGUAAGAUGGCUGUCACGCAUUUCCUGCGUUCCUUUGGAGCGUAGCUUGUGCAAGUCCCCAGGAAUUAACGCUACGUGUCCACGAGAUGCAGUUCAGCACAUGAACAUGGGAGCAGUACGAUGUCUCGUUAAAAUCACAAGCUACUUGAGUGAAACUAUGUUUGGUUUGUUUACAAUGUGCGAAUGUGGAGGUUGUCAAGGAAGAUAAUCCGGUGUUGGCGAAGGAUGACCCGGUCCUGGUCUGUCCCCUUGUGGAUUCAGGUUUAAUCCUCCAGGUACACGCAAAGUAGGCAGGCAAGUAUGUGAACAAAGCCGUUUGUGUGGCCGACGCCUGUCUACGCAUUGUUAAAAAGUGAGUAUAUCCAGGGCUUCGAGCUCCAGGUUGUCCUGGCCGCACCAGAGAGCCAGCUGAUCAGCCUCUCGUCUGCAGGCCGACUCAUCACCGUCCCAGAUGAGGCCGCUGACCCUUCAGGAGUCUCUAUAAAACAUGAUUAUAGAAAAUAUAAACUAUCACUUUAUAUUGAUGAGAUUUCUGAGGAUGUGAUGUCAUGUGUGACCUCUGACUUCCU